UAUAAGCCUCUGCUGAUGUGUACAUAGUUUAUACUAAGUGGCCCAUAGGUUGAGGAGGCAGUGACCGUGGCGGUGGAGGAGGAGGAUGAGGUAGCCAACACUGUUUUUUAUAUAUAUAUUUUUUAAUUGGGCUAGCCCCCAAAAUUUUGGGACAUAUAAAAAAAGACAACUCUGUUCUGCAGAGUAGCUGUUGACAUAGUUACGCAGGCACUUUGUUGACUCUAGAGAACCUCGGGCCAAUCACACAUCCCUGUGGCAGCGACUUUGCAUGCGGAUGUCGUUCAUAUCAACUUUCGAUGCCAGUUUCUGCGCCUACCAUGGUGACCACGGGUAACAGGGAAUCAGGAUUCCAUUACGUACAGGGACCCUGAGAAACAGCUACCACAUGCAAGGAAGGCAGCA